rnacentral:rRNA from 1 species
GACGAACCACCCAAACGUUAUUCGGAAUUACUGGGCUUAAAGGGUGCGUAGGCUGCGCAGUAAGUUGGGUGUGAAAUACCUCGGCUCAACCGAGGAACUGCGCCCAAAACUACUGUGCUUGAGGAAGAUAGAGGUGAGCGGAACUUACGGUGGAGCGGUGAAAUGCGUUGAUAUCGUAAGGAACACCUGUGGCGAAAGCGGCUCACUGGGUCUUUUCUGACGCUGAUGCACGAAAGCUAGGGGAGCAAACGGG